rnacentral:rRNA from 1 species
AAUAAGUCAAAACUUUCAACAAUGGAUCUCUUGGUUCUGGCAUCGAUGAAGAACGCAGCGAAAUGCGAUAAGUAAUGUGAAUUGCAGAAUUCAGCGAAUCAUAGAAUCUUUGAACGCACAUUGCGCCCGCCAGCAUUCUGGCGGGCAUGCCUGUUCGAGCGUCAUUUCAACCCUCAAGCACUGCUUGGUGUUGGGGCCUGCGGCGAGCAAUCGCCGCACCCCCUAAAAUCAGUGGCGGGCCCGCCUGGAUCCCGAGCGUAGUAGCACAUCUCGCUCGCGGAGCCCACGCGCGACACGCCGUAAAACCCCCAAAUUUACCAAAGGUUGACCUCGGAUCAGGUAGGAAUACCCGCUGAACUUAAGCAUAUCAAUAAGC